rnacentral:rRNA from 1 species
AUUGAACGCUGGCGGCAGGCCUAACACAUGCAAGUCGAGCGAGCGGCGGACGGGUGAUUAAUGUCUGGGAAACUGCCUGAUGGAGGGGGAUAACUACUGGAGACGGUAGCUAAUCACGCAUACCAUUAGACGUGCCCAGGUGGGAUUAGCUGGUAGGUGGGGUAACGGCCCACCUAGGCGACGAUCCCUAGCUGGUCUGAGAGGAGGACCAGGCACACUGGAACUGAGACACGGUCCAGACUCCUACGGGAGGCAGCAGUGGGGAAUAUUGCACAAUGGGCGCAAGCCUGAUGCAGCCAUGCCGCGUGUGUGAAGAAGGCCUUCGGGUUGUAAAGCACUUUCAGCGGGGAGGCGUUACCCGCAGAAGAAGCACCGGCUAACUCCGUGCCAGCAGCCGCGGUAAUUC